UACGACACUAAUGGGGCGAUAGCUCAAGCCAGGGAAUCAAGGUCUCAUCAAGAUCCAAACUCAAUUGAGAGACUGAACCACAUGAUUAAGAAUCAUGUAUAAUGGUGACGUCGUUAUUCUCAAGGUUGCUUCUAUGGAUAACAUAUAGAUAUCCAUUGUUUAGGCCUACAGAAGAGGUAUCAUCACUGAUAACCAAGUUGAUUGGCUCUAGUGCAAGUGGGAGAUUGUUGGAAAUGUGCCCUAAAACCAAUCAUAUGAUGAUA
rnacentral:lncRNA from 1 species